GCAAUCAUGACAGUCAUGCGCACAUCAAAACAAAUGGUUCCUGCCAACAGUGUCUGUAUAGUUGUCAGAUUUUCUGUGCGAUGGCUCCAUACAUA